rnacentral:rRNA from 1 species
UGCAACUCGACUCCAUGAAGCUGGAUUCGCUAGUAAUCGCGCAUCAGCCACGGCGCGGUGAAUACGUUCCCGGGCCUUGUACACACCGCCCGUCAAGCCAUGGAAGCCGGGAGUGCCUGAAGUGCGUGACCGCAAGGAGCGUCCUAAGGCAAUACCGGUGACUGGGGCUAAGUCGUAACAAGGUAGC